CGGCAGCACGGGCUUCGGCCUGGUGGCGAGUGGCGAACGGGUGAGUAAUGCAUCGGAACGUGCCCAUUUGUGGGGGAUAACGCGGCGAAAGUCGCGCUAAUACCGCAUACGCCCUGAGGGGGAAAGCGGGGGAUUCUUCGGAACCUCGCGCAAUUGGAGCGGCCGAUGUCAGAUUAGCUAGUUGGUAGGGUAAAGGCCUACCAAGGCGACGAUCUGUAGCGGGUCUGAGAGGAUGAUCCGCCACACUGGGACUGAGACACGGCCCAGACUCCUACGGGAGGCAGCAGUGGGGAAUUUUGGACAAUGGGGGCAACCCUGAUCCAGCCAUGCCGCGUGAGUGAAGAAGGCCUUCGGGUUGUAAAGCUCUUUCGGCCGGGAAGAAAUCGGCGACUCUAACAUAGUCGCUGGAUGACGGUACCGGACUAAGAAGCACCGGCUAACUACGUGCCAGCAGCCGCGGUAAUACGUAGGGUGCGAGCGUUAAUCGGAAUUACUGGGCGUAAAGCGUGCGCAGGCGGUUUUGUAAGACAGAUGUGAAAUCCCCGGGCUUAACCUGGGAACUGCGUUUGUGACUGCAAGGCUAGAGUACGGCAGAGGGGGGUGGAAUUCCUGGUGUAGCAGUGAAAUGCGUAGAUAUCAGGAGGAACACCGAUGGCGAAGGCAGCCCCCUGGGCCUGUACUGACGCUCAUGCACGAAAGCGUGGGGAGCAAACAGGAUUA
rnacentral:rRNA from 1 species